rnacentral:antisense_RNA from 1 species
GCAGGUGGGCAUGAAAACACGGAAAUUCACAGACACGCAGGUGGGCAUGAAAACAUGGAAAUUCACAGACAUGCAGGUGGGCAUGAAAACACGGAAAUUCACAGACACGCAGGUGGGCAUGAAAACACAGAAAUUCACAGACAUGCAGGUGGGCAUGAAAACACGGAAAUUCACAGACACUCGCAGGUGGGCGUGAAAACACGGAAAUUCACAGACACGCAGGUGGGCGUGAAAACACGGAAAUUCACAGACGCACAGGUGGGCGUGAAAACACGGAAAUUCACAGACACGCAGGUGGGCAUGAAAACACGGAAAUUAACAGAGACGCGCAGGUUGGCAUGACCAGGCUCGCAUGGGCAAGAUGUGUUUCUUCCAGAUUACCGGGCAGCAGAGCGG